UACGUAGGGUGCAAGCGUUAAUCGGAAUUACUGGGCGUAAAGCGUGCGCAGGCGGUUUUGUAAGUCUGACGUGAAAGCCCCGGGCUUAACCUGGGAAUUGCGUUGAAGACUGCAAGGCUUGAAUCUGGCAGAGGGGGGGUAGAAUUCCACGUGUAGCAGUGAAAUGCGUAGAGAUGUGGAGGAACACCGAUGGCGAAGGCGCCAGG
rnacentral:rRNA from 1 species